rnacentral:rRNA from 1 species
CGCCCUUCCCCGUCCGGCCGACCAUACGAGACUCGACGGNGUAGCAGUGGGGAAUUUUGCGCAAUGGGGGAAACCCUGACGCAGCAACGCCGCGUGGAGGAUGAAGCCCCUUGGGGUGUAAACUCCUUUCGAUCGGGAAGAUAAUGACGGUACCCGACUAUAAGAAGCCCCGGCUAACUUCGUGCCAGCCGCCGCGGUAAUUC